GAUGAAGAACGCAGCGAAAUCCGAUAAGUAAUGUGAAUUGCAGAAUUCAGUGAAUCAUCGAAUCUUUGAACGCACAUUGCGCCCGCCAGUAUUCUGGCGGGCAUGCCUGUCUGAGCGUCAUUUCAACCCUCAGCCCCCGUCCGCGGGGCGCUGGCGUUGGGGAUCGGCCGUCCUUGCGGCGGCCGGCCCCGAAACACAGUGGCGGUCUCCCGUAGACUCCCCUGCGUAGUAACACUACCUCGCAGAAGGGACGAGCGGGCUGGCCACGCCGUUAAACCCCCCACUUCUCAAGGUUGACCUCAGAUCAGGUAGGAAUACCCGCUGAACUUAAGCAUAUCAAUAAGCGGAGGA
rnacentral:misc_RNA from 1 species